rnacentral:rRNA from 1 species
CCUACGGGUGGCAGCAGUGAGGAAUAUUGGUCAAUGGCCGUAAGGCUGAACCAGCCAAGUCGCGUGAAGGAAGAAGGAUCUAUGGUUUGUAAACUUCUUUUGUACGAGGGUAAACCCCGAUACGUGUAUCGGGUUGAAAGUAUCGUACGAAUAAGGAUCGGCUAACUCCGUGCCAGCAGCCGCGGUAAUACGGAGGAUCCGAGCGUUAUCCGGAUUUAUUGGGUUUAAAGGGUGCGUAGGCGGUUUGAUAAGUUAGAGGUGAAAUGUCGGGGCUCAACCCCGAAACUGCCUCUAAUACUGUUGGACUAGAGAAUAGUUGCGGUAGGCGGAAUGUAUGGUGUAGCGGUGAAAUGCUUAGAGAUCAUACAGAACACCGAUUGCGAAGGCAGCUUACCAAACUAUAUCUGACGUUGAGGCACGAAAGCGUGGGUAGCAAACAGGAUUAGAUACCCUUGUAGUC